UCGAAACUUCAAGUUUGAAAA
rnacentral:piRNA from 1 species